CACAGAGAUUAAUAUAUUCCUUCCUCCAUUAGCCCAUCGAUUCUAUAUAUAUAUAUAUACUCAAGAAACUUCGAAGAAGCUCUGCAAUUUCUUGAUUUCUUUUUCUCAGUCUAACCCUCUUCUUCUUUGAAGCAUUGAAUCAUGGCUGAAAACUUAAGAAUCAUAAUUGAAAAGAACCCAUCAGAGUCCAAACUCCAUGAAUUAAACAUCAAGUACUGGCCCAAGUGAGUCUUUCUUUUUCUCUUUCUCUUUGUAUAUUUGUGUGUUUUGUGGUUGUGGGUAUAUGGAAUUAUUCAAUCUAAAAAGUUUCUAUCUUUUACUGGGUUGGGUUGGGGAAAAUUUAUAAAAAACCAGAUGGGGUUGCUCUCCAGGAAGAUAUCAGCUAAAGUUUGAUGCAGAAGAGACAUGCUAUUUGUUGAAAGGGAAAGUGAAGGUAUACCCAAAAGGUUCAUCAGAAAUUGUGGAGUUUGGUGCAGGAGAUCUUGUCACCAUACCUAAAGGACUCAGUUGCACUUGGGAUGUUUCUGUUGCUGUUGAUAAAUAUUACAAAUUCGAGUCGUCUUCUUCACCAUCACCACCACCACCACCUUCUUCUUCCUCCUCUUCAUAGCUAGGAGUAGACUGGCUAGCUAGUAGCAGUAGCUAGUGUUGUUAUCAAUCUUGAUUUAAUUUCUAUUGAUCAAUCUAUUCUUUGGAAUUUGAUUAUAGAAAGAAAGAAAGCUCCAG
rnacentral:misc_RNA from 1 species